GUGCUCACUUUGGCAGCACAUAUACUAAAAUUGGAACGAUACAGAGAUUCGCACGGCCCCUGCGCAAGGGUGGCGCACAAAUUCGUGAAGCGUUCCAUAUUUUU
rnacentral:snRNA from 1 species